rnacentral:lncRNA from 1 species
CCGUGAAGUGGUCAAGUCUCGUAAUUUGCUUACACAAAUAAUAUAUAUCAAUUGUAAAACAGUGUUGGAAGCUCUCACUUGCAGCUAAUAGUUCGAGUCGCCAGGUGGAUGGUAUUAGCCACCACUAUGUGAUCAAGUGGCACGCAUCUCAGAUCAUAAACUGCUUGUAUUGCAGUGGCUCUCCGCCUUGCUGCUCCAAUCGGUGUAUUUGCUAGGAGGCGAAGGUUGAUAGGUACAGUGAACAUGGUCUGCUCUACCAAGGCACAGGGGGCUGGCACUCCAGGCACAGUGAAAUUAAUAUUAUUAAGAGGAGCCUUACCAUGGUUGGGUGUCCAGCAGAAAGUCUCCUCUAUAUCCUGCAACUCUGUCAAUGUUGUUGGUCGCAUAGAUGGAAUACCUUACUUACCUGGAAGUAAGAUUCCAGCUGCCUUGCUGUAGGAUUAAUGAAACGACUACAAUGUGAGUCAUAGACUGUCUCAGUUCUACAAUUGUCACCUCAUGUUGCAAGAAAGAGCAAUCAAGAUCUACUGUGUGUCUUGCAUAAGCCUUCUCACCGUCCAUAGGAUCUUCCCAAAAGUGGGUCCUCUGGUAUCUGUGCUUCACUGGAGAUGGUUGUUGCUCAACACUAUAAUCUGGUUCAGCAUAUGGCGCGUCAAACAGGCAAAGAUUCCAAUGUUUGCAGAACACCAGUGUCGAGCACCCUCACCCUAUAAUGUCAAACAAGGAUGCUGUCUACUGUCUGUCUUUUCCCUUGCACCUAAGACAGACAUAAACGCACGCACGGACACGCGUGCACACGCGAGAAGGGGUCGGUGACGUUCAAAGAGGAGCGUGAAACUCGAUACAUCAACAGGGGGACCCUCAAUUUGCAGGCGGGCGGACCAAGCAUGCAGGGGACAGCAGCGGCCGCCGCCCAGGAGUUGGUCAGGAAGCAGGCUACAGAUCAGGAGUAAGGCUGCAGGUCAAGAGCAAGGCUGCAGGUCAGGAGCAAGGCUGCAGGUCAAGAGAUAGACUGCAGGCCACGACGCAGGCUUCAGGUUACCUCCAGGAUAACGACCUCAUUGACGCAGGAGUGGCAGGCAGGUCCCAGGAAUUCGGGCACGGGUUAAGAUGAGGUGUUGACAAAGUGACAAAUGUGUGCGUGUUCAUUACAGCCCACAACCCUACCACUUGACAAGACGAGGAAGUGAAAAUAUGUGGAGAGAUAGAUAGGAGAGAGAGAGAGAGAGAGAGAGAGAGAGAGAGACCAUCACGCCAUGAUUACUCCACAGGGAGUACUAAUGAAGUCUGAUGGAAACUUUAACAACAUUAAAGUGAACUACUUAAUUACCAUGAUGAAAAGAGCCACUUCACCCUUCACACGUGAGUGUGAGCAGCUUUCUCUUCGCUUCAUGGUACACCAGCUGCUGUAACACCAACACCAGACGCUGUGACCUACAGCUGCUAACGAGGAUGAACUUUGCAUCGCUUGAGGGGACAUGAUCUAUAUAUACUAAAUAUUUAUGGGUAAUGAAAAUAUUGAUUAAAAACAGUAUUCAUGGAAAUUUGACCCACUAACGAAUGUGAGGGAAAACUAAGUGUACAUUCAGUGUAAAGAAGGUAGCUUCAAACACAACUGGAUAUGUUAGAAAUCAAGGAAUUCGGGAGUCAUUGUAUCAGAAAACUGGUAGGAAGGCAGAGACCAGGAGUUGAAGUUACCUCGAAUAUCAUCUUAUUAUGCCUCACUUUACUGCUGCUGUUGAAGUGCAGAUGCAGAUAAAUGCUCUUUAUUUACUUUAGUUUAAUGGAUUUGAUAAUUACGUUAUGAAAUUAGACACACUAACAUAAACGUCUCCUCACCUGCGUUUAUACAAAAUAAAUAGACUCCAAGAAGCAACACACAAUGAAUACCAAUAGAACAAGAGGGCACGUAUGGAAGCACGAGACUCAGAUGAAUUACAGAGAUGUUAGAAAGUUUUCCUUUAGCGUAAGAAUAGUGGGAAAAUGAAAUAAACUAAAGGAGCAGGUUGAAGAAGUAAACUCAAUUCAAAACUUUAAAAGUAGAUAUGAGAGGGAGUCAGGAGUCACUGCAUUAGACAACCGGCGGAUAGAAACGCGGGGUCCAUGAGCUAGUGUUCGAUUCUGCAUGCACAAAAAGGUGUGUACAAAUAGGUGAACAUGUGAGUACACACACACACACAUUGUAAUAAGCGACCAGCUACUGAAUAACGGGGCCCAGAUGAAACUUCCUAACAUGUAUAUAUAAGUGAGUACACACACACAUACUUCCCUGAUAUGUGGGUGUAUUUAUGCACACACCACUCCCUCACACGCGCCCUCCCACACCCCCCUCCCCACUCCCUCACACUGUCACCCACCCUACACACACACACUAACACUUUGUAUUUCUGUCAAGUGCUCUAAUUUAGUUGUUCUCACCUGUCUAUGUUAUUUAUCUUUGUCUUGCUUCACCCCUACACUUCUUCAUUCCUCCCUGACUCCCUUGCUCCCGCGCUCUCUCUCUCUCUCUGGCUUCUAUAAAGCAAAGACUGUGCUUGAUGAUUACUGAAUGGGGAGAGAAAAGAAGAGAAGGAAUAUAGCAGGGCCGCAGAGCAGGGCCCCAAAGCAGGGAAACAGAGCAGGGGCCACUGAGCAGGGGCCACAGAGCAGGGCCAUAUAGAUCAGGGACACAGAGCAGGGGAAACAGAGCAGGGGCCACAGAGCAGGGCCAUAUAGAUCAGGGACACAGAGCAGGGGCAACAGAGCAGGGACCACAGAGCAGGGCCAUAUAGAUCAGGGACACAGAGCAGGGGCAACAGAGCAGGGGCCACAGAGCAGGGGCCACAGGGCAGGGACACAGAGCAGGGCAACAGAGCAGGGCCACAGGGCAGGGCCACACAGCUGAUGACCAUGGCAAGGAAGUGUAUUCAGCUGUUCUCUUCACCAAAGGUUUCUUUGAUGUCUAGAGACGAUUUUUUUGUGAUGUACGCAAAAAGUUUUAGUAAAAAUAAAUUGUUUUAAUUACCUGUUUACGUUUGUUUCACAUUAUGUAAUACUUUUAUGAGAGAUUCCAUUUUAAAACAUCAUGGAGAGUACACCAAAAGCCAGGUUAACACUUUGCCACUUUGCAACUCAAAAGCCACUCUCACUCAACACUCAAAAGCCACUUUGAGCCGAUACUCUUCGAAUUGGGCCUAGAGGCCUAACUAGUUACCUC